CCCUGGCUGUUGUUGAACUACAACUCCCAUCAUCCCUGACCACUGGUCCUGCUAGCUAGGGUUGAUGGGAGUUGUUGUCCAACAACAGCUGGGG